rnacentral:rRNA from 1 species
AUUGAACGCUGGCGGCAUGCCUUACACAUGCAAGUCGAACGGCAGCACGGGUGCUUGCACCUGGUGGCGAGUGGCGAACGGGUGAGUAAUACAUCGGAACGUACCUUAUCGUGGGGGAUAACGCAGCGAAAGCUGUGCUAAUACCGCAUACGCCCUGAGGGGGAAAGCGGGGGAUCGCAAGACCUCGCGCGAUUAGAGCGGCCGAUGCCUGAUUAGCUAGUUGGUGGGGUAAAAGCCCACCAAGGCGACGAUCAGUAGCUGGUCUGCGAGGACGAUCAGCCACACUGGGACUGAGACACGGCCCAGACUCCUACGGGAGGCAGCAGUGGGGAAUUUUGGACAAUGGGGGCAACCCUGAUCCAGCAAUGCCGCGUGAGUGAAGAAGGCCUUCGGGUUGUAAAGCUCUUUUGUCAGGGAAGAAACACCGGCUCUAACACAGUCCGGGAAUGACGGUACCUGAAGAAUAAGAACCGGUUAACUACGUGCCAGCCGCCGCGGUAA